GACACUGGAAGGAACUGCAGGGCGAGGAGAAGACACGAGGGUACAUACUAGCACAUGUAGUUAAAUAACUUUCUUCAACAGGUAAUACUCAGGAGAAGAGUCAGGCACCAUGGAGGUGCGGGAAUACUCUGGUGCUGGAACACUGGAACUGCCAGGCUUAAGUGCAGGCUGUGAUGAGUGCUGAUGGAAACCAGUGACUAUUGUGCUGCUCCUUCUGGUGUACAUGACUUGGCCGCCUGGGGGGAGUAUAAGACAGAAUUAGAGACACGCAUGAAGAAGUUUCACAACCGACUCGGACAGGAGCGGUUGUACAGGGUACACACACAGAAUGCAGUAUAUAAGGUGUUCUGAUUAAUCAUCUGCUGUAAGUGGCUUGGAACAGAGAGUACAAAGAUAACCUUGGGCACCGAGCCUCAUGCAGCUUAACCAAGACAAAGACAAAGACUUAAUUAUCCAAUCACGUGGAGCAGCCUGCUGAGCUAUAUUUCCAUGACAGUCGCAAUCAGUCCAACUUCCAGUUCCAUGGUCGUGAUCACAUUUUUAUUUUUUUUUGCUAUGCCAUCACAGGUACCUGUCAGCAGUGACAUCACAUUCACACACACACACAACAAAAAUCACCCAAAAGGCAAAACGCACCUGGACGUCUUGAAGUGUGUGUUGCCUUUUUGUGAUGUGUAUUUUUUUAUUGUUUGAUUGGUAUAAUUCGGUGUUGGGCCACUCCUUUAAUCUGGCUCUCCGAGCAUUUGCAUCAGGAGUCCUGUCGUAUUUGUUGCAUUCAUUUGGCAUUGCGUUCAUUCCCCCCCUAAAAUAAGCUUGUUUAUUAGUUACAUAAUUGUUUAAAAUACCUGGAAAAAUAUUACUAAAAUAAACAACUUUCUACAUU